rnacentral:rRNA from 1 species
ACCUACGGGGCGCAGCAGUGGGGAAUAUUGGGCAAUGGGCGCAAGCCUGACCCAGCAACGCCGCGUGAAGGAAGAAGGCUUUCGGGUUGUAAACUUCUUUUGACAGGGAAGAGCAGAAGACGGUACCUGUCGAAUAAGCCACGGCUAACUACGUGCCAGCAGCCGCGGUAAUACGUAGGUGGCAAGCGUUGUCCGGAUUUACUGGGUGUAAAGGGCGUGUAGGCGGGAGCGCAAGUCAGAUGUGAAAACUCAGGGCUCAACCCUGAGCCUGCAUUUGAAAAUGUGUUUCUUGAGUG